UCAGGAAAAGUGGACCUGCAAGAACAGAAUAUCGUUGACAUUGAAGAACUUGUGAAGCUUUGUACCCGUAUGGAAGAGGCUUGCGCGGGAUUCACAAGGUUCGAUUUCUGUCAGAUCUUGGAUGCUACAGAGAAUUUUUCAGAGAAGAUGAUAAUUGGAUGGGGAGGAUUUGGGAGGGUGUACAAGGGUCAGUUGCCCCAUGGACUUGUGGUUGGUAUCAAGAGAUUCGAUCACCGUGCAAUGUUAUCUGAUUUCAGCAAUGAACUGCAGCUUGCUAGGCUUCGGCAUACAAAUGUAAUAAGGUUACUAGGGUGGUGCAUCCAUGGAGAAGAAAGGAUUCUGGUCUACAAGUUCAUGCACAAUGGUGCCUUGGACCAUCACAUAUUUGACAGAAUAAAAGGGCCAUUACUAGACUGGUCUAAGAGACUCAAAAUAAUCAAAGGGUUAGUAGAGGGGCUUGUUUACCUGCACAAGCACCCCAUGCUAUCUAUUGUCCAUAGGGACUUGAAACCAAAUAAUAUUAUCUUGGAAUGUGACAUGACCCUGAAUAUUUCUGAUUUUGGAUCAGCUAAAACCCUGAGUCCAGACGUAACAGAAGAGCAUACAUGCAGGGUGGUGGGCACUAGUGGUUACAUAGCCCCGGAGUAUGCACCUCGAGGGGUUUACUCUCUGAAGACGGAUGUGUUCAGCUUCGGCAUCUUGGUUCUGGAGACCAUUAGCGGACGAAAGAACACCAUACUCGACAACCGAGGGGAUACCGUCGGCGAUCUUGUACGAGAUGCCUGGCGUAUGUGGAAGGACAGAAGGCUGCAUGAGCUCGUAGAUGGAUCACUAGGGCAUGGAUACGACAUCGCCGAGGUAGCGAUGUACGCUCAGGUGGCGCUGCUCUGCGCUCAGGAAGAUCCAGUGGAUCGCCCCGCCAUGACGGAUGUUGCUGCAAUGCUGAGCUCUGAAAGCAUGAGCUUACCAACGGAGCCUAAGGAGCCUUCCGCGCUGAGUGAAGGGGGUGCUGGUGAGGAUACAUACAUAAACCGAUCAAGCCGGACAAUAGACAUAACCAUAACGAGUUCAGCCACAGUGCUGACUAGAGUUCGCUUAAUCAUAGACCAGGAGGUUUGA
rnacentral:rRNA from 1 species